AGUUCCGGGUGUUGACGUUGUUGGGGCGAGGAAAACGUGGGCACCACCAUUUUGGCAGUAUUCGGCAGACUGGUGCUGUUGUGGUGGAGAAGACAUAGUCGAUAACUGUUGUGCACCAGGUUGCACAAAUAAACGAGGCAAAAAUAAAUGUACGUCGUUCUAUCUCAUACCUAAAGAUGCGGAGAGGCGAGCUAAGUGGAUCAGCGCCAUUAAAAGAGCCAGGAGCAAGCAAAAAAAGACAGAAAAAUGGGACCCCCCGGCUGUUGGAUUCCGCUUGUGCAGCGAUCACUUCAUAUCAGGGAGAAAGAAUGAUAAUCCCUUGAGUCCGACUUUGUUCCAUCUCUUUUCAACUACGUUCCAUCUCCAGAGAAGAGGAAAAGAAAAAUGAGACUGGAGGUUUUCAACAGACGACAGAAAGCAAAGCUACAGAAGAUAGAGCAGACAAAGCUAUCUGCGAAAGCCAUCCCUCCCAGGUGAAUAUUUAAGUUCCUUAACCUGGUCAACCCCACUUCCAUGGACUUGGUAAAAUUAUGAACCAAAUUUUUUUUGUACAAUUCAUUGUUGGUUUAAUAACACCCAAUGAGCUAAAAACCAUAACAUCUGUGACUGGUUUGAAAUCAUCACACACCUCUACCGACUUGCAUUUGGCAGCCACUGACUAUGCAUGUGAUUGUCACUGUCAUUGUCAAUAUCCCUGUCAUUGUCUUUCUAUUCAUUUAUUUUAUUACAUUGUUUAUUUAUCAUAUACUGACUAUAAAGCACUUUUGGAUGUAAAUGUGCUAUACAAAUACAAUUUACUUACUUUCUUACUAAUGAAAGCUAGUAUACUGCAGAAAACAGAGAGUGACCGACAAAAGAAUGACAAACUGUCAUCA